UCUUGACCUCAAAUCGGGUGAGACUACCCGCUGAACUUAAGCAUAUC
rnacentral:rRNA from 1 species